rnacentral:rRNA from 1 species
GGUUACCAGAGUUUGAUCCUGGCUCAGGACGAACGCUGGCGGCGUGCCUAAUACAUGCAAGUCGAACGGUCUUUUCUAUGGAAGCUUGCUUCCACUGAGAAGAUAGUGGCGAACGGGUGAGUAACACGUGGGUAACCUGCCCAUAAGAGGGGGAUAACAUCCGGAAACGGGUGCUAAUACCGCAUAGUUUUCUUGAUCGCAUGAUCGAGAAAGGAAAGACGGCCUUUGUGCUGUCGCUUAUGGAUGGACCCGCGGCGUAUUAGUUAGUUGGUGAGGUAAUGGCUCACCAAGACGAUGAUACGUAGCCGACCUGAGAGGGUGAUCGGCCACAUUGGGACUGAGACACGGCCCAAACUCCUACGGGAGGCAGCAGUAGGGAAUCUUCCGCAAUGGACGAAAGUCUGACGGAGCAACGCCGCGUGAGUGAAGAAGGUUUUCGGAUCGUAAAACUCUGUUGUCAGAGAAGAACAAGUCGGAGAGUAACUGCUCCSGGCCUUGACGGUAUCUGACCAGAAAGCACGGCUAACUACGUGCCAGCAGCCGCGGUAAUACGUAGUGGCAAGCGUGUCCGGAUUUAUUGGGCGUAAAGCGAGCGCAGCGUUCCUUAAGUCUGAUGUGAAAGCCACGCUCAACCGKGAAGUCAUUGGAAACUGGGAACUUGRUGCAGAAGAGARAGUGGAAUUCAUGUGUAGCGGUGAAUGCGUARAWWUAUGGAGGAACACAGUGGCGAAGSGACUCYYCUGUCUGUACUGACGCUGAAGCUCGAA